ACUUAAUACAUGCAAGUCAACGACUUUUAGAGUAGCAAUAUUCUAAAGGAAGUGGCGCACGGGUGAGUAACACGUAGGUAAUCUGCCUUCAGGACUGACACAACUCGUCGAAAGACGGGCUAAUAUCAGAUAAUGCGGCGGCUCCGCAUGGAGACAGUUGUUAAAGUACAAGCGCCUGAAGAUGAGCCUGCGGUCCAUUAGCUAGUUGGUAGAGUAACAGCCUACCAAGGCAACGAUGGAUAGCUGGUCUGAGAGGAUGAUCAGCCACACUGGAACUGAGACACGGUCCAGACUCCUACGGGAGGCAGCAGUAAGGAAUAUUGCUCAAUGGCCGAAAGGCUGAAGCAGCAACGCCGCGUGAAGGAUGAAUGGCCUUUGGCCUGUAAACUUCUGUAAAAGGGAAAACAAUCAGGCAUGUCCUGAUUUGAUUGUACCUUUGAAGUAAGCCCCGGCUAACUACGUG
rnacentral:rRNA from 1 species